rnacentral:lncRNA from 1 species
GCCUCACGCAUAUAAUUCUCUUUCUGACUUAAGCAUCGGAGGGGCGACGAGAACAUACCUUGUUGCCUUUGUUUCAGGUACUGGAAGACUACUAUCGUGCUCAAUCCAAAUCAUUAAACUCGAAAAAUCUGCAGGUACGAUUUUUGGUAGCAUCACUAGACAUAAAAACUCAACCAUUUGAAUAUUUUGUUGAUUCUUGCUUGUUUGGAUAUUGCACAUGGCUUGAGCACUCCGUUACUUAGCAACCAUAUUGUAUCAACAAAAAUGCCUGAUGUUCACAGGGCCUGUACAGGCUCACUCACAUGCUGAGUAAGGGAGUGGGGGUGGGUGAUUAUUUAAAAUAAAUAUAUAUAUAUAUAUAUAUAUAUAUAUAUAUUACCCCCACCCCCUAUAAUGUGUGUGGCUUGAAAUAGGACCCGUACAUGCAACAUAAUUUAUUGAACCAACUUGAUAGCUGCGUUUCUAGGCAUCUGGCAUCAGUUUAUAUUCUCAUUUAUUUUCCUAUUUAAUUGCCCGUGGAAUUAUUGUUCUAGGUUCACCAGUGGAGCAAAUGACGGAAUUUUAUAGUCAUACUCGUUGGAUUCAUGUUUUGCUGGGGCGUUUUUUCGAAUGUAAAUUCAAAAUAUACUAUGGUUUAUACAUGACUUAUUUUUUCUUCUAAUUCUCAGUUCACCUUUAUCUGUACUUUAGAACAGUGUGGUAAACGCGAUAAAAGAGGUGCUAAAAGAGAAGAUAGUGCUCCUUCAAGUUAUCGUGCUCAGAGGCACGCCGCACACUUAAUUGAACAUUCGUUUCCUCGAGAUUCUAUUUUUUUCAUUCUUUUCGAGAUAAAAACAUAAUCAUUGCUUUUAACAAUGUAUGUGUUUCGUGUAUUCACCAAAGUGGUAAAGGUACAAAAUGUAGUAGAUUCUUUCUCUCGAAUUUAAACUCUCAAGUAAAUGUUACAUCUAUCACUAUCUGUCACUAAUACUAAAUAAUUAAAUUUCAAUUAAGAUAAAUGCAACUUUGACUUGGGGCAGCAGCAAUUAUUACCAUGUCACCAACUGUUAUCUUAUAAUUGGCUCUGCUUCCGUGGAAUACGGUUGAAAUCACCGAGGUUGUACGCGGCAUCCCAACAUUUUGGCUACGUUUGAG